GCCAGGGGCACUUGGUAUUUCUUCGCCCGAUCUCCGCCAUCUUUCUUUUCAAACAAGCAGGUGGUUACUUGAGCCCAGGACACAAGAUUAACCUAAGACGAGUUUGACAAAUGUCAGCAUUUCCCUCAACCUCUAUGGAGGCCGAAAAAUGACAUCAACGAAGAGUUCAAGAGGCUCAUGGCUGUUCCCCUGGAGGAGAAAUUCAUGGCCCAGUUAGAUAUGCACUCCAGUGAGCUGAUCAGAGUCAUCCGUUCCAAAGGAGGAGCAACACGCCACAAGAUUGCUGGCAUCAUGCAGAUUUUGGACCAGGCUGAGGAUAUUCAUCUUUUGGAAAGUGUCUACUGAAAGCCCUCAUAAUAUUCCUUGGAGAAGAUGCAGAUGACCUGAUCAAGAAAUAUCUUUGUCUUUCUCCUCCUUGGUGAACCUGCCAAGGCUCAGAACCACCAGGAAUGCAUGAGGACCUGGAGCAGACAGAGAGAUACAUGUCUUGAUCCUCUUCAAUACUUUUCCACUGGGAGAAGUGCUUCUUCAUUACAAUGAACUCACCAGUUUAAAUCCUGGAAUUAAACACCAUGCACACACACAACAAAGGAGGAGCAGUGUGUAAAUAUGGAGCAUGAAACCAGUUGGCAAUAUAUGCUUUUGAUGGUGGGUGUUGCCGUGUGUUUCUUAUCUGCAUGAAGUUUAGAGGGGGAGAGUGUAAGCCAAGUUAUUUUCUCCAAUUGACAGAUGCCAUUCUAAAUGCCUCACUUGCAGACAAUUGGUAAAUGCUAACCAAGCCGUUGAGCAGGAGUACCAAGUAGAGCCCAUGAGUUGGAAUUGCUGGUAUCUUUCUUGGGACAUUUACAUCGUCAUGGGCUCAACUUUUGGGGGAUUUUUGGGCAGUGAUAGUGCACUGAUAGUUGUUUUUACGGGACAAAUCAAGCCUAUAUUUCUCUCCUGACGGUUUAUCAAUGGUAUAUUAUUUUGAAUCAAUAUCUUGCAGAUAUAAUAUAUAUAUAUAUAUAUAUAUAUAUAUAUAAAUAUUUUUGUUUGUCUUUUAACGCAGCCUUGAAACAAUGUAACCCCUGAAUUGAGACACAAUUUAAAUAAGCGAGGUGUUGAGACGUGUAACAGCACAUUGCUGGUUUGACUAUUGGGGAUUUGUUUACAACAAGAAAGAGUGCAGUAAUAAUUUAUCAUCAAUAAUUUAAUAAAUCUGCUGCAGUAGAAGACUCCAAAAUUGAUUUCCCAACGUUCCUGGUCACAGUUCUUGCUUACACACACCUACCACUCACUUGUUCUUAUCUCCUCCAUCAGUCCAAUAACAUUUCAUUGUUACAUUUUUUGCCAGACUGUCUACUGAGCCAUGGCAUGUUCUCUUUUUGAACAUAUAUCUGUGUAUCAAUUAACAAAAUCAAUUAGCAAAAUCACAUAUCUGAUACAUUUUAACUGACAUGUUAAAGUGACAUGGCAUGACAUAUGACAUUUUUUGUGAUUUAGUAAGGAGAAUAAGGU